GAGAGCCCGGUGCAUUGAAAGGUGCCCGCCGGGUUCGGGAAGCGGUCCGGGGAAACGGGCCGGCCGUAAGGCUGGCACCGCGCCCCGGGCCGACUUUCAC
rfam:Arthrobacter sp. Hiyo1 DNA, contig: contig00872.